rnacentral:piRNA from 1 species
UGUUAUUCACACUUUUAUAUUUAACUGCC